UCCUAGCCGUAAACGUUGGGCACUAGGUGUUGGAUCGUAAGGUUCAGUGCCGUCGCUUACGCAUUAAGUGCCCCGCCUGGGGAGUACGACCGCAAGGUUGAAACUCAAAGGAAUUGACGGGGGCCCGCACAAGCGGUGGAGCAUGUGGUUUAAUUCGACGCAACGCGAAGAACCUUACCUGGGCUUGACAUCCUGAUGAAAGUCUCAGAGAUGAG
rnacentral:rRNA from 1 species